rnacentral:rRNA from 1 species
CUGAACUUAAGCAUAUCAAUAAGCGGAGGAAAAGAAACUAACAAGGAUUCCCCUAGUAACGGCGAGUGAAGCGGGAAGAGCUCAAAUUUAAAAUCUGGCAGUGUAUUC